rnacentral:lncRNA from 1 species
UGGACUAAAGUAGAAGGGGCGCCACACUCUUUCUAAUCCAAGAGAGAAUGAUAAGCCUAUGGAUGAGGAUCACCACAAGAAAAGGAUUCCUUGAUAUGAUCAGUUUUGGUUCAAUCCAGAACCUAAGAGCAAAUACUCUCAAUUACACAAAGUGUAAAAAGUUAACAAAAUUCAUUGAUCUGACAAGAGUUACAUGUCUCCUUUAUAUAGGAAAGGCUUAUGAUGAUGUAAUAAGCAAAAAGUAACUCCUAAGAAAGCAAAAGGAUUUCAGCCACUAACUAUCAUGAUAGUGGGGCUGAAUUAUUAUAAGGAAAAUGCAAAAUAAAAGAAGAGAUAGUGGUGCUCUUUUAUUGUUUGGUGCACCACUUUUAUAUGCUUAGUGGAGGAGCUCUUCAUUUUCCACUAUUACAUGUUUGGAUGAUAAUAUUUAACUUUGGUUCUUUUUCUUCAAUUUGGGUCAAGCCUUCAUCAACUUGGAUCGGACCUUCUAUUGAUUUGAUCAUGAAGUGAACUAAGGCAUCACUGACUCUUCUUGCACGCGCCCUUGUCAUAGGACCUCCUAAGCUUUGGAUUGCAUCACUUAUGUCUUGGAUUGUGUCCUCAUCAGUUUGUAUGAAUUCUUUUAUUUAAGGGCUUAUAGAGUAAGUGUUCAU